GGCCCUAUGGGUUGUAAACUUCUUUUGUAUGGGAAGAAAAGCAGUUACGUGUAAUUGUCUGCCGGUACCAUACGAAUAAGGAUCGGCUAACUCCGUGCCAGCAGCCGCGGUAAUACGGAGGAUCCAAGCGUUAUCCGGAUUUAUUGGGUUUAAAGGGUGCGUAGGCGGCUCUAUAAGUCAGUAGUGAAAUCUCGAAGCUCAACUUCGAACGUGCUAUUGAAACUGUAGAGCUUGAGUACAGACGAGGCAGGCGGAAUGUGUUGUGUAGCGGUGAAAUGCUUAGAUAUAACACAGAACACCGAUAGCGAAGGCAGCUUGCCAGACUGUAACUGACGCUGAGGCACGAAAGCGUGGGGAGCGAACAGGAUUAGAUACCCUGGUAGUCCACGCCGUAAACGAUGAUUACUGGUUGUAGGCGAUACAUUGUCAGUGACUGAGCGAAAGUAUUAAGUAAUCCACCUGGGGAGUACGUCGGCAACGAUGAAACUCAAAGGAAUUGACGGGGGCCCGCACAAGCGGAGGAACAUGUGGUUUAAUUCGAUGAUACGCGAGGAACCUUACCUGGACUUAAAUGUAGAUUGCAUAGAGUGGAGACAUUCUUUUCUUCGGACUAUCUACAAGGUGCUGCAUGGUUGUCGUCAGCUCGUGCCGUGAGGUGUCGGGUUAAGUCCCAUAACGAGCGCAACCCCUAUCGUUAGUUGCUAGCAGGUAAUGCUGAGAACUCUAGCGAGACUGCCACCGUAAGGUGUGAGGAAGGUGGGGAUGACGUCAAAUCAGCACGGCCCUUACGUCCAGGGCUACACACGUGUUACAAUGGCAGGUACAAAGGGCAGCUACAUAGCGAUAUGAUGCUAAUCUCAAAAACCUGUCUCAGUUCGGAUAGGAGUCUGCAACUCGACUCCUUGAAGCUGGAUUCGCUAGUAAUCGUAUAUCAGCAAUGAUACGGUGAAUACGUUCCCGGGCCUUGUACACACCGCCCGUCAAGCCAUGGAAGUUAGGGGUACCUAAAGUACGUAACCGCAAGGAGCGUCCUAGGGUAAAACUGGUAACUGGGGCUAAGUCGUAACAAGGUAGCCGUACCGGAAGGUGUGGCUGGAACACCUCCUUUCU
rnacentral:rRNA from 1 species